rnacentral:rRNA from 1 species
CAAGUCGAGCGGCAGCGCGGGGCAACCUGGCCGGCGAGCGGCGAACGGGUGAGUAAUGCAUCGGAACAUGUCCAUGUCGUGGGGGAUAGCCCGGCGAAAGCCGGAUUAAUACCGCAUACGCCCGAGAGGGGAAAGUGGGGGACCGCAAGGCCUCACGCGAUUGGGUUGGCCGAUGUCCGAUUAGCUAGUUGGCGGGGUAAGAGCCCACCAAGGCGAUGAUCGGUAGCUGGUCUGAGAGGAUGAUCAGCCACACUGGGACUGAGACACGGCCCAGACUCCUACGGGAGGCAGCAGUGGGGAAUUUUGGACAAUGGGGGCAACCCUGAUCCAGCCAUUCCGCGUGAGUGAAGAAGGCCUUCGGGUUGUAAAGCUCUUUUGUCCGGAACGAAACGGUUAGGUCUAAUAAGCCUGACUACUGACGGUACCGGAAGAAUAAGCACCGGCUAACUACGUGCCAGCAGCCGCGGUAAUACGUAGGGUGCGAGCGUUAAUCGGAAUUACUGGGCGUAAAGCGUGCGCAGGCGGUUUUGUAAGCCAGAUGUGAAAUCCCCGGGCUUAACCUGGGAAUGGCAUUUGGGACUGCAAGGCUGGAGUACGGCAGAGGAGACUGGAAUUCCUGGUGUAGCAGUGAAAUGCGUAGAUAUCAGGAGGAAUACCGAUGGCGAAGGCAGGUCUCUGGGCUGAUACUGACGCUCAUGCACGAAAGCGUGGGGAGCAAACAGGAUUAGAUACCCUGGUAGUCCACGCCCUAAACGAUGUCGACUGGUUGUUGGGGGUUUGACACUCUCA